UCAUAUAUACAUGCCUACACAUUGAUGCAUUGGAUCCCAUUAUAACUCUAUAGUUAAGCGUGCUUGGGCUAGAGUAGUACUGUGAUGGGUGACCUUCCAGUAAGUCCUACUGUUUUACAUGCC
rnacentral:rRNA from 1 species